rnacentral:misc_RNA from 1 species
GUGAGUCAUCGAAUCUUUGAACGCACCUUGCGCCCCUUGGUAUUCCGAGGGGCACACCUGUCUGAGUGUCGUGAAUUUCUCAACCCCACCUCCUUUGCUGGAGGUCGGUGGCUUGGACUUGGAGGCUUUUGCGGGUCGUAACGGAACCGCUCCUCCCAAAUGCAUGAGUGGUGCCCUGGGCUGCCCUGGUGUGAUAGUUGUCUACGCCUUGGCUUCUCCCUCCGUGGUGUCCGCUUCCAACCGUCUCUUGGAGACAACGACCAUCUAAACUUGACCUCAGAUCAGGUGGGACUACCCGCUGAACUUAAGCAUAUCAAUAAGCGGAGGA